GUUUGUGGCUCAGCGGUAGAGCGCUUGGCUAGCAUAUGCAAGGCCUUGGGUUUGAUCCUCAGCAUCACA
rnacentral:tRNA from 1 species